AGUGAACGCUGGCGGUAGGCCUAACACAUGCAAGUCGAACGGCAGCACAGUAAGAGCUUGCUCUUACGGGUGGCGAGUGGCGGACGGGCGAGGAAUACAUCGGAAUCUACUUUUUCGUGGGGGAUAACGUAGGGAAACUUACGCUAAUAUCGCAUACGACCUACGGGUGAAAGCAGUGGAUCUUCGGACCUUGCGCGAUUGAAUGAGCUGAUGUCGGAUUAGCUAGUUGGCGGGGUAAAGGCCCACCAAGGCGACGAUCCGUAGCUGGUCUGAGAGGAUGAUCGGCCACACUGGAACUGAGACACGGUCCAGACUCCUACGGGAGGCAGCGUUGGGGAAUAUUGGACAAUGGGCGCAAGCCUGAUCCAGCCAUACCGCGUGGGUGAAGAAGGCCUUCGGGUUGUAAAGCCUUUUUGUUGGGAAAGAAAAGCAGCAGGGUAAUACCCCGAUGUUCUGACGGUACCCAAAGAAUAAGCACCGGCUAACUUCGUG
rnacentral:rRNA from 1 species